AAUCAGACCUUGUUAUUUUUUGCACCGUUCUUCAUAUACUCCCUCCAUCCGGAAAUAAGUGACUUGGAUUCGUCGUUUAGGGAGUAUAAUACGAUGAUAAUAUGUCUACUUCCAUACAGUGAUGGUUUAGGGGAGUCAUGUUUGUGCUGUGCCUUCGAGGCAUGGAAGGCGUUCCUGUCUUGUGUGACUGCGUGUGUGAGGCAAGGGAUAUUUUGGGGUAUUAGAGUCUUGGUAGGCAGGGUGUACCCAAGAGGUAUCAAUGUAUCAUGACUAUUUUAAUUUUAAA